rnacentral:rRNA from 1 species
GCACAAGCGGUGGAGCAUGUGGUUUAAUUCGACGCAACGCGCAGAACCUUACCAGCCCUUGACAUCCCGGUCGCGGACUCCAGAGACGGAGUUCUUCAGUUCGGCUGGACCGGAGACAGGUGCUGCAUGGCUGUCGUCAGCUCGUGUCGUGAGAUGUUGGGUUAAGUCCCGCAACGAGCGCAACCCCCGUCCUUAGUUGCUACCAUUUAGUUGAGCACUCUAAGGAGACUGCCGGUGAUAAGCCGCGAGGAAGGUGGGGAUGACGUCAAGUCCUCAUGGCCCUUACGGGCUGGGCUACACACGUGCUACAAUGGCGGUGACAAUGGGAUGCUAAGGGGCGACCCUUCGCAAAUCUCAAAAAGCCGUCUCAGUUCGGAUUGGGCUCUGCAACUCGAGCCCAUGAAGUUGGAAUCGCUAGUAAUCGUGGAUCAGCACGCCACGGUGAAUACGUUCCCGGGC